AUUGAACGCUGGCGGCAUGCCUUACACAUGCAAGUCGGACGGCAGCACGGGAGCAAUCCUGGUGGCGAGUGGCGAACGGGUGAGUAAUAUAUCGGAACGUGCCCAGUCGUGGGGGAUAACGUAGCUAAAGCUACGCUAAUACCGCAUACGAUCUAUGGAUGAAAGCGGGGGAUCGCAAGACCUCGCGCGAUUGGAGCGGCCGAUAUCAGAUUAGGUAGUUGGUGAGGUAAAGGCUCACCAAGCCGACGAUCUGUAGCUGGUCUGAGAGGACGACCAGCCACACUGGGACUGAGACACGGCCCAGACUCCUACGGGAGGCAGCAGUGGGGAAUUUUGGACAAUGGGCGCAAGCCUGAUCCAGCAAUGCCGCGUGCAGGAUGAAGGCCUUCGGGUUGUAAACUGCUUUUGUACGGAACGAAACGGCGAGCUCUAAUACAGUUUGCUAAUGACGGUACCGUAAGAAUAAGCACCGGCUAACUACGUGCCAGCCGCCGCGGUAA
rnacentral:rRNA from 1 species